ACUGCUCAGUAACACGUGGACAACCUACCUUAGGUCGGGGAUAAACCCGGGAAACUGGGUAUAAUACCCGAUAGUCCUCGGAUGCUGGAAUGCACCGAGGUCUAAAGCUCCGGCGCCUAAGGAUGGGUCUGCGGCCUAUCAGGUAGUAGUGGGUGUAGCGUACCUACUAGCCUACGACGGGUACGGGUUGUGAGAGCAAGAGCCCGGAGAUGGAUUCUGAGACACGAAUCCAGGCCCUACGGGGUGCAGCAGGCGCGAAAACUUUACAAUGCUGGAAACAGCGAUAAGGGGACCUCGAGUGCCAGGUUACAAAUCUGGCUGUCGUGAUGCCUAAAAAGCAUUGCAUAGCAAGGGCCGGGCAAGACCGGUGCCAGCCGCCGCGGUAACACCGGCGGCUCGAGUGGUAACCGCUAUUAUUGGGUCUAAAGGGUCUGUAGCCGGCCGGAUAAGUCUUUUGGGAAAUCUGGCAGCCUAACUGUCAGGCUUUCAGAGGAUACUGUCUGGCUCGAGGCCGGGAGAGGUGAGAGGUACUUCAGGGGUAGGGGUGAAAUCUUGUAAUCCUUGAAGGACCACCAGUGGCGAAGGCGUCUCACCAGAACGGACCUGACGGCAAGGGACGAAAGCUAGGGGCACGAACCGGAUUAGAUACCCGGGUAGUCCUAGCCGUAAACGAUACUCGCUAGGUGUCGGCCACGGUGCGACCGUUGUCGGUGCCGUAGGGAAGCCGUGAAGCGAGCCACCUGGGAAGUACGGCCGCAAGGCUGAAACUUAAAGGAAUUGGCGGGGGAG
rnacentral:rRNA from 1 species